rfam:Oesophagostomum dentatum strain OD-Hann O_dentatum-1.0_Cont12751.3, whole genome shotgun sequence.
UCAACAGUUCUUUUAAGAACCAUAUUUUUACAAAAAAAUGAUAU